rnacentral:rRNA from 1 species
GAUCCUGGCUCAGGAUGAACGCUAGCUACAGGCUUAACACAUGCAAGUCGAGGGGAAACGACAUCGAAAGCUUGCUUUUGAUGGGCGUCGACCGGCGCACGGGGUAAGUAACGCGUAUCCAACCUGCCCACCACUUGGGGAUAACCUUGCGAAAGUAAGACUAAUACCCAAUGAUAUCUCUAGAAGGCAUCUGAAAGAGAUUAAAGAUUUAUCGGUGAUGGAUGGGGAUGCGUCUGAUUAG